rnacentral:tRNA from 2 species
UGAGGGAUCGUCUAACUGGCAGGACAACGGCCUUUGAAGUCGUGAAUCCAGGUUCAAACCCUGGUCUCUCAGCCA